rnacentral:tRNA from 1 species
GGAGAGUUGUCCGAGUGGUCGAAGGUGCAGCACUCGAAAUGCUGUGUCGGUGACGAGCCGACCUAGGGUUCGAAUCCCUAACUCUCCGCCA